rnacentral:rRNA from 1 species
UACGAAGGGGGCUAGCGUUGCUCGGAAUCACUGGGCGUAAAGGGCGCGUAGGCGGCGUUUUAAGUCGGGGGUGAAAGCCUGUGGCUCAACCACAGAAUUGCCUUCGAUACUGGGACGCUUGAGUGUGGUAGAGGUUGGUGGAACUGCGAGUGUAGAGGUGAAAUUCGUAGAUAUUCGCAAGAACACCGGUGGCGAAGGCGGCCAACUGGACCAUCACUGACGCUGAGAGACGAAAACUAGGGGAGCAAAUGGG